rnacentral:rRNA from 1 species
AACGAACGCUGGCGGCAUGCCUAACACAUGCAAGUCGAACGAUACCUUCGGGUCUAGUGGCGCACGGGUGCGUAACGCGUGCGAACCUGCCCUUAGGUUCGGAAUAACUCCCCGAAAGGGGUGCUAAUACCGGAUAAUGUCUUCGGACCAAAGAUUUAUCGCCUUUGGAUGGGCCCGCGUUGGAUUAGCUAGUUGGUAGGGUAAAAGCCUACCAAGGCGACGAUCCAUAGCUGGUCGGAGAGGAUGAUCAGCCACACUGGGACUGAGACACGGCCCAGACUCCUACGGGAGGCAGCAGUGGGGAAUAUUGGACGAUGGGAGAAAGCCUGAUCCAGCAAUGCCGCGUGAGUGAUGAAGGCCUUAGGGUUGUAAAGCUCUUUUACCCGGGAUGAUAAUGACAGUACCGGGAGAAUAAGCUCCGGCUAACUCCGUG